AUGCAAGUCGUACGCUAGCCGCUGAAUUGAUCCUUCGGGUGAAGUGAGGCAAUGACUAGAGUGGCGAACUGGUGAGUAACACGUAAGAAACCUGCCCUUUAGUGGGGGAUAACAUUUGGAAACAGAUGCUAAUACCGCGUAACAACAAAUCACACAUGUGAUCUGUUUGAAAGGUCCUUUUGGAUCGCUAGAGGAUGGUCUUGCGGCGUAUUAGCUUGUUGGUAGGGUAGAAGCCUACCAAGGCAAUGAUGCGUAGCCGAGUUGAGAGACUGGCCGGCCACAUUGGGACUGAGACACUGCCCAAACUCCUACGGGAGGCUGCAGUAGGGAAUUUUCCGCAAUGCACGAAAGUGUGACGGAGCGACGCCGCGUGUGUGAUGAAGGCUUUCGGGUCGUAAAGCACUGUUGUAAGGGAAGAAUAACUGAAUUCAGAGAAAGUUUUCAGCUUGACGGUACCUUACCAGAAAGGGAUGGCUAAAUACGUGCCAGCAGCCGCGGUAAUACGUAUGUCCCGAGCGUUAUCCGGAUUUAUUGGGCGUAAAGCGAGCGCAGACGGUUUAUUAAGUCUGAUGUGAAAUCCCGAGGCCCAACCUCGGAACUGCAUUGGAAACUGAUUUACUUGAGUGCGAUAGAGGCAAGUGGAACUCCAUGUGUAGC
rnacentral:rRNA from 1 species